rnacentral:rRNA from 1 species
UAAGCGGAGGAAAAGAAACCAACAGGGAUUGCCUUAGUAACGGCGAGUGAAGCGGCAAAAGCUCAAAUUUGAAAUCUGGCGCCUUCGGUGUCCGAGUUGUAAUUUGAAGAAGGUAACUUUGGAGUUGGCUCUUGUCUAUGUUCCUUGGAACAGGACGUCACAGAGGGUGAGAAUCCCGUGCGAUGAGAUGCCCAAUUCUAUGUAAAGUGCUUUCGAAGAGUCGAGUUGUUUGGGAAUGCAGCUCUAAGUGGGUGGUAAAUUCCAUCUAAAGCUAAAUAUUGGCGAGAGACCGAUAGCGAACAAGUACAGUGAUGGAAAGAUGAAAAGAACUUUGAAAAGAGAGUGAAAAAGUACGUGAAAUUGUUGAAAGGGAAGGGCUUGAGAUCAGACUUGGUAUUUUGCGAUCCUUUCCUUCUUGGUUGGGUUCUCCGCAGCUUACUGGGCCAGCAUCGGUUUGGAUGGUAGGAUAAUGAUUAAGGAAUGUGGCUCUACUUCGGUGGAGUGUUAUAGCCUUGGUUGAUACUGCCUGUCUAGACCGAGGACUGCGUCUUUGACUAGGAUGCUGGCAUAAUGAUCUUAAGCCACCCGUCUUGAAACACG